AAAGGAAUUGACGGGGGCCCGCACAAGCGGUGGAGCAUGUGGUUUAAUUCGAUGAUACGCGAGGAACCUUACCAGGGCUUAAAUGUAGUCUGACAGGGGUGGAAACACCUUUUUCUUCGGACAGAUUACAAGGUGCUGCAUGGUUGUCGUCAGCUCGUGCCGUGAGGUGUCAGGUUAAGUCCUAUAACGAGCGCAACCCUUGUCGUUAGUUGCCAGCGAGUAAAGUCGGGAACUCUAACGAGACUGCCGGUGCAAACCGUGAGGAAGGUGGGGAUGACGUCAAAUCAUCACGGCCCUUACGUCCUGGGCCACACACGUGCUACAAUGGCCGGUACAACGGGCAGCCACCUCGCAAGAGGGUGCGAAUCCUAAAAACCGGUCUCAGUUCGGAUCGGGGUCUGCAACUCGACCCCGUGAAGCUGGAAUCGCUAGUAAUCGCAGAUCAGCCAUGCUGCGGUGAAUACGUUCCCGGGCCUUGUACACACCGCCCGU
rnacentral:rRNA from 1 species